rnacentral:rRNA from 1 species
ACGGGUGAGUAAUAUAUCGGAACGUGCCCAGUCGUGGGGGAUAACUGCUCGAAAGAGCAGCUAAUACCGCAUACGACCUGAGGGUGAAAGCGGGGGAUCGCAAGACCUCGCGCGAUUGGAGCGGCCGAUAUCAGAUUAGGUAGUUGGUGGGGUAAAGGCCCACCAAGCCAACGAUCUGUAGCUGGUCUGAGAGGACGACCAGCCACACUGGGACUGAGACACGGCCCAGACUCCUACGGGAGGCAGCAGUGGGGAAUUUUGGACAAUGGACGCAAGUCUGAUCCAGCCAUGCCGCGUGCGGGAAGAAGGCCUUCGGGUUGUAAACCGCUUUUGUCAGGGAAGAAAAGGUUCUGGUUAAUACCUGGGACUCAUGACGGUACCUGAAGAAUAAGCACCGGCUAACUACGUGCCAGCAGCCGCGGUAAUACGUAGGGUGCAAGCGUUAAUCGGAAUUACUGGGCGUAAAGCGUGCGCAGGCGGUUAUGCAAGACAGAGGUGAAAUCCCCGGGCUCAACCUGGGAACUGCCUUUGUGACUGCAUAGCUAGAGUACGGUAGAGGGGGAUGGAAUUCCGCGUGUAGCAGUGAAAUGCGU